rnacentral:lncRNA from 13 species
UUUUUUUUACUGCAAAAAGGAGGCUGCACUAUUUAUCUACUAAUUAGUUUUUUUCAUUUUCUAUGUCUUAUAGUUAUUUUAAUAAAACAUUUUUCACUCUAAUCAAGUGCUGAUAAAAUAUCAGGAGUAUUGCAAAAAUACGGACUCUUCUAACGUAACGAACGUGUUUGCAGAUUACGAGAAAUGGAUUUCAUCUCUUUGGCACUAUAUACUCUUUGUGCAUUAUUGUGCAUUGUGAUUUCUCGAGUUCUAUUCUCGAUGGUGUAUUACCAAUAUGAUAUACGACAAAAA